GGAGAGAUGCCAGAGCGGUUGAAUGGGGCGGUCUCGAAAACCGUUGUGCCCUUAUGGGUACCCUGGGUUCGAAUCCCAGUCUCUCCG
rnacentral:tRNA from 1 species